GGGGAUGUAGCCAGUGGUAGAGCGCACGCUUUGCAUGUGUGAGGCCCCGGGUUCGAUCCCCGGCAUCUCCA
rnacentral:tRNA from 1 species